UCCUUGCAUCUCUCGCUUCUCUCGCUGCUUCCAUCAUCAUGCAUCAUCAUCAUCAUCACCAUCAGCGUCGUCCUCACACUAAGCGACUUUAGCAGUUACCAGCGUCUAUAGCUAAGAUGGCGGACCAUAGCAACUCUCCAAACCUCAAGCUGUAUAUGAAUCCGCUUUCGAUCUACUCACAGCACGUCAUGUUCGCGCUUGAAGAGAAGAAGUUACCAUUUGAGAAAGUUUGUCGUGGACUUGUUUAAGUAUGCCCAGUACGAGCCAUGGUUCGUAAAGCUCAACCCGAAGUGUGAAGUACCCAUAUUACAGCAUGGAGAUGCAACCAUCACUGACUCUGCGCGCAUCAUUGACUACUUGGAGAAACAUUUCUCAGGAGGAGACAGGCCAAGGGUUGUUUCCCGUUGAGGGAACAGAUGCCGCUACACUGACCAAGCAUUUCCGCAAGGUUCUGCUAGACAUUAACCUGGGAGAAAAUCGCUUUUGGUAUUUACUAUCAUCCAUACUUGGGAAAGAACCUGCUGGGUACCGGAUAACAUCAGAGAAAUGGCCAAGGGCGUUUAUGCGGGAAAGGUGGCCCACCUUCAAUCGUUGAUAAAGAAAUAUCCCAACCUUAGAGGAUGUUAUGAGCAGAAGGCCUCAAAGAGCGCCGUUCGUGGGCAAGGAAGUAUGCAAAUGAACCUGAAAUUGUGAAGGCAUUGGAUAAUCUUGAACCGCUAAUGGACGAAGUAGAGAAGCAACUGGCAACGCAUA